AUGCUUCUUUUUUCAUCAUGAUCUGACUUAUCCAUCCAAUCCUGAUUGACUCAUUCCCCUCUUUCCGUUAAAGAUAUAUCCGAUAAUUCCCCAGAUAUUCAAAUCCCAAAUAUGCAGACAGGCAUGAAUAAUUUUAUAAGUUUUUUAGAGGCUGAUAAAUAAUUAAGGUUUUUAAGAUAUGAAUGAGAGGUAAGUCUGUGCUAUCUUUAAAGUAUAUUAUUGCUUUCCCCAAGGAAAAAUGUUUGACACCAGGUUAACAAAUAUCACUUUUAUACAAAAGUUGUUGGCAUUCAUGUAGUUAGAGUUACUAUAUAAACUGAUAUGUACCAGAUUGAACGGUAUUUAACCUUUGUAACUAAGCUUAAUGAGUUUAUAUGCAAAGGUACUGAAAUUGCAGGAAGAAAUCGGAAAGCUUUGAGCCUACCGCAUAAUCAAGCAUAAAAUAUUAGGAAACUUUGAACAAAAGGUAACUUGCAAAUGAAAUAUUAAAAUUCAUAGCCUGUUCAUUUGAUUUUUAUAUUCCCUAAACAACAAACCCAGUAAAAGAAAAAUUUGAUGUUCAGAUUUGUGCAAUUACUGCUGUGUUGUAAAGAUCAAGAAAAGCUUAGACUGAUUUUUAGAGUAAACUGCAGCUAUAAAAAGCAUUCUCUUCAUUAAGCAUUAGUAACGCACUAAAUUUGAACGUUAUAGGAAUUCUUUGUAAUUGUUGGCCAAAGGCUAAAUUUCAGACUUGGAGCAUGGUUGAGGCCUGUAUUAGGCAGUGGUGGCCUCUCUAAUGUACUCUUUUUUUCUUCUCACUGCAUUGUUUGAAUGGAGCAACUUGAAGGGCGAAGAGGAAAACAAGGCCCCUUAUAGCAGAGUGCAGGGAUGCCCUCCUGCAGCAAAUUUAUUUUGCAGAUAUGUGUGCUAUUUGACAUAAAUCUGAUGGAUUCCACAGGCAAAGUAGAAUUAUGACAAAGUAUCUUCUUAAUGAGCCAGGGACAAAUCAAUAAUGGCAGGAAUGGUUCAGCAAUCUCAAGACUUUUUUUGAAAUUUAAAAAAAAAAAAAAAAAAAACUGCUCCUCACAAGUCUGCUCCUGUCUCCUGAGAGAAUGGUAGGAAGACAUCAGUCUGUCCUCCUAGUUAUGAGUAGGUACUUUAUUCCUUCCCCACUUCUGGCUGCUAAAAGAAGGUGGACCUUGGACUUUGGUACCUAAAUUAUCUCUUUUCUCCCCUGGGUCUCUCAGUUGAGAACAUAGUGGAGGCACUCAAGAAAGGAAAAGAGUGGCUGCCAGGGCAUUCUCCAGUAGGGGUCCUUGACUUUGGCAUUUGAUUUCUCACCUACCAAAAAUAAAAUCUCUUGGUCAGCCAGGGCCCAGGUUUGUUAAUAAAGAGCUGGAUGUGUGUAUUUUUGGGAUAAGUCAUCUUGCAAAGGUUAAUUCUUUUAAAAUAGUAAUCUGUGAAAUAUGUUAAUUGUUGAUGGCUGGUAUUGUGAUGACUUAGUCAAAAUAUAGCUUUUUAAAUAAAGAGUGAUCUUUUCUGAAUAUUAAUUAAAACUAGGCAAUGUGAAAAUAUUUUAUUACUGUUCUUAUUGUGUAUAUGUAUAAACAAGUCCGCUCCAUACCUGCUUUGUACAUUACAUGCUUUGUACAUUAUUCUCAUAAUUAUUCUCGUUUGUUCGUAUUUUGCCUACAUAGAUGGUGAACACUGAGACUGGUAAACUGUUGUUUCAUGUGAAAUGCCAAACAAAGCUUUAGUGAGUGAUUAAUAAAUGCUCCUCACAAACAUCUGUCUGAGGUAUACAAGCAAGUCUAUCCCCAUUUUUACAUGUGGGGAAAUUGAGCCUGACACACCACAAGGAGUCAAUAUUGGAGUUGGGAUUAGAAUUUGUGAGUUCAUGGCUCUUGUUUGUCUACUCAGAUCAACCCUCUCUCCUUAACUCUAAUGUCACCGUGCUUUUUAUUAGGGCACGUCUGCACUAGGAGCAUCUUACCGGUAUAAGAAAACUGGUAUAGUGUACAGGCAAAGUUUUUCUUUGAGUCCGGCCACUCCGUUUUUGCCACCGCCCCGCCUCCAUGAGCAAAAUGGACUAUACUAGUAAAAGUGCGGUUUUGCUGAUAUAACUGCAUAUGCCCUAGGGGCUUCAACAUAGCAGUGCCAGCCAGUCUGGGAUCACAUCUCUUCAUGUCCCUGACUGACCUAGCGAAGUCUAGUCAGAGCAUUUAAAUAAUUCUUUAUAGAUUUUGAAGUUCACGUCUCUCCUGCACUUAAAAAAACUAAAUUGCAACUCUCUAUCACUUUCCCCCUCAAUUUGUUACCUUUAUCCCACACAAAUUUGUGUGUAAAUCCUCUUAUUUUUACAGAAUUGUGAAGGAUUAAAGAAUAUGGUGAAUUCAAUUAAUUCAGUCAUAUGAAGAGUUUCCUGUGCUUGUAAUGUUCUCGUUGGUACCAUAGGUUGAGAGAGAUGAUCCAUAUUGUGAUUUAGGAUUUUAUUGAAGUUUACUGAAAAUGCGUUCAUUGAAGAAUCCAGCCAUUAAAAGUGAGGUGGGGAAGUAGAAAGCCUCAGAAUAUGGCAUUUGAGGAUAUCACAAUCUAAUUCAGCAGAGGAGUAUUUUAUUGAGCCAAGAAUUUGCUUUAUUAUGCAGCAUUCCAAUAGUGGCUCAGCAAUCUGGCUGCCAGCUGCCACUUGUAGCGUAAAUCAGAGUUUAGCCAUAUUUGCUAUUCCAUGGAUGCUUGGAAGUGGACCAUAUUUUAUCCAUAUGUUUAUUUCUUAUUUAAUACAUCACCUAGAUUUGUUUUAUUUUAUGCGGAGAGUGCUGACAAUAUGCUUGGUGUUGUCAGAUGAAUUAUUUUAAUAAAAGUGUACAUAAUGGAUUUAGCAAAGCCUGACACAUAUGUUUAAGAUUUGGGAGUGGACACUGAGGAAUUGAAAUAGCCUAAGGUGAAACACCAGGUAUAACGCAAGGCUAACCUUGAAGUUUUUUCUUUCUUGUUGAGCAAUGGGCAGGGAAAACCUAAUACUUUGCUCCUUGAUGAAUGAAUGGAAGUAAAUUAAUAAAUACCUCUCCAGUGAUCAUUGCGAAGUCAGUUAACAUCUCCACAAGAACUGAGCCCAGCAAACAUCCUGCCCUUAGGAAACAGUGGGUGAAGUAAGCAACAAACCUUGCCUGCCUCUUGUGUGGACUACCUGCAACUCUCACUACAGAAAGGUGGAAUGUGAUCUGAGAACUGUGGGGACAAGAGAAGGGAGAUUGCUUAGCUUUUUAGCAUUUAACGCUACAAUUGCCUUACUAACUAUAGUAGCCUAAGAAAAUAGGGAAAUGGGCAUUUUUAAAAAGAGGAAGAAGUCAGGACUGAGAAUAAAACAAAAAUGAUAGGGACUAUUUAUUAGUGGUUCACUCUUUCUCUCUCAUGCCUAUACCCUUGCAAGAUCUAACCUUUCACUAUGAGGCAUAUAGUAUUUCUGAAGGAUCCAGUUGAAAUCUGAGGUCCCCCUCACUUGAAUUAUAAUGAAGAUUUUUCAGGUGAGACCUACAUAUUCAUUUGCUUGUCUCCACUGAUACAUCUGG